rnacentral:rRNA from 1 species
CUCGCGCAAUGCGGUUUGGGGGACUUGGGCGUGAGCCCUUCCCCUGCGUUUGCUUCUUUGGAGGGCUAUGUUUUCAUAUACACUAUAAAGUUACAGAAUGUCUUUUAAAGAUUGUGCUAGUCGCAGUCAUUAAACCUAUACAACUUUCAGCAACGGAUCUCUUGGCUCUCCCAUCGAUGAAGAACGCAGCGAAAUGCGAUAAGUAAUGUGAAUUGCAGAAUUCAGUGAAUCAUCGAAUCUUUGAACGCACCUUGCGCCCUUUGGUAUUCCGAAGGGCAUGCCUGUUUGAGUGUCAUUAAAUUCUCAACCCAUAAAGCUUUUACGAGCUCUUUUGUGGCUUGGAUGUGGGGGUUUUUGCUGGCUUCCUUCAGUGGAUGGUCUGCUCCCCUUAAAUGCAUUAGUGGGAUCUCUUGUGGACCGUCACUUGGUGUGAUAAUUAUCUAUGCCAGUUGACUUUGAAGCAAAACUUAUGGGAACCCGCUCAUAACCGUCUUCGGACAACUUAUUGACAUUUUGACCUCAAAUCAGGUAGGACUACCCGCUGAACUUAAGCAUAUC